UUCUACUAUUAUGUAACGUGGGGGACUUUUAUUUAGACAUUUUUCGAAAUCCAUGACGUGGGAGUACUUUUUUAGUGUUGCUGAUGAGACGCUGGAUCUAACAACCUCUGUAAAAAAACGUUUUUAGUUUAUUUAGCUGACUUUGGUAUUGUUAGCUUGAAUACAUAUAUCAACCUUUUCAGUUACGUUGCAAGCGCUUUAAUAUUACGUAUAUUCUAGGCUUGGUCGCACUAUCUAACGUUAACAUCGAACUCUGUAGCAAGCUUGUUUCGGGUGGCUUUUUGCUUUGCAAACUAGCUAUGGAUAACAUUAUUGAUCCAGCAUCAGAACAAGUGACAAGUCUCCCUCUGUUCUCCUUGCGGCACCUGGUUCCAACUCUACGCCUGAUGUGGCUUUCAUGUGGCAAGUGACACAACGGCGUAAUGUGAUGCAAUAUGGGAAGCUGGAGGAAUUUGUGACUUUUGUGACAGAAAUGGUUCCAGAGCUGCUGAGCUCCAGGCAGAGGACCCAACUCAUUCUGUUAGGAUUUAUGUUUAUGCACUAUAGCCCACUACCAUAUUGUUUGAAGAUGAAUAUUGUUUUGUUACACACACACAAACAAUGCAGAUGUGUGUGUGUGUAUGUGUGUAAAGAUUGAGCAACAUAGAGUGCCUUGAUGCAAAAGCUGUGGUCAAUCUGGAGAGGGGAGGGGUGCAUAUCUCCAGGCCAACCAGGGAGGGUAGGACACUGGACAAUACCAAAUAAGGAACUGUAUGAGUGUAGAAUCUGGGGUGAGACACAAGAUGGAUCUAAUCUACCCAAUGACCAGAUGCGGACAGAUGAGAGCACCAAGAGACUGGGACAAGUCUGAGUGCCAGCGAUAGGCUGAGCAAAGUUUAAACCACGCUCAGCCUCUACUGUGAUAGGCCAACGCAUGGCUGUCAUAGUAUAAUAACUGUUGUUUGCGCACAUUCCAGAGUUCUCUGUUCUACCCUGCGCAGUGAUACAGCGAACCCAUAUAUACGAAAAUUGCAUUUGCCAUUUAUUGUUUGCGUUAAUUAAACAUAAUUAAAGAAAGUUA